rnacentral:antisense_RNA from 1 species
ACAAGGGUGAGGGAGGAUUUCUCCCCCCUCUGAUUGGCUGUUAAUAAGCUGCGAAACUUACGAGUAACAACACAAUCAGUAUGAUGACGAGCUUCAUCAUAACCCUUUCCUUCUGUAAGGCCCCUUCUUCGGGAGGGGCUUU